CACGCGGAGGAGGAACCAGGGCAG
rnacentral:piRNA from 1 species